rnacentral:lncRNA from 1 species
UCAAUUUGUUAAAUUCAAUCUCUUAUUUAAUUUAAUUUCUGGCAUUUUCCUUCAAUACAUCUUUGAUGCAGACAGUGGGAACCAUUCCUCUGUGGAAAAAAAAAUACGGCAGCCAUAACAUAACGCUGUGCUGCUGCUUGUUAUGCCAACUUUAUUAUACAUAAUACCAAGAAAACUUUUCAAACCAAAUGCAACAGGUUUAUGCAGCUAUCGUCUAAGCUUCUCACAGAACAAUUUCAAGCUAGGCAAGAGAUAUGAGAGAUUUGGAGAACAAGGAGUUCAGAAAAUAAAGUUUAACCAUGCAGAAAUGGAUUAAUUCAUCACUGUUACUGAGCAGUGUAUAAGCUGGUAUGCUGUUACUAUAAAAAAAAGACUACGUUCACUGCUUAGUUUGUAAAGGACGACAAGAGGAGCGUUGCUGCAGCAUCUCCGAUCCAGUCUUCAACAGUGAGCAGUGCCUAUUUCUAAUCAGCAUAAGUGCCGGAAAGUGACAUAAAACUCAGGCAGUAAGCAGCAAGUGCCAUGCACCUCGAGCGCAAUUAUCAGCCCGGUCUAAGGAUGCCACUAACAGACGGCAGAGGAUUUCACCGGACAAAACCCCCAAAUUUGCCUGCCUUUCGACCCGGCCUCACAAACCCCGAGGUGCGCAGCUGUGCUUCCCUGUCGGAGGAGAAGCGAGGUACAUUCAGCCUGCUCUCAGCCGAUGCAAGGUUUGAAGCAAUGUCUCCAUCUCUGAACAUGAGCAGAAGAAGAAAAUUGAAGCAGUUUUCCAAUCUAGUUACUGGAUCACUGGUGAGGGAAAAGCUGGUAAAACAGAUGAAAGCGUCGUGUGGACUGGACUUGAUCUGUGGACUACCUGUAGAACCCGCAGAACUCAUCAGCAUCCCCUCUACUGCUUAUAUUCUACUUCAUGUAAAGGUUGUUGCUAGUUCUGGAAGAAAAAAACAAGCUUGCAAACAGAAAACCAAUUUGCUUAAAGCUUACCUUACACUGAAAGUUGUGGGCACACGGAGCAGAGCUGAUUGGCUAGCUUCAGCAGUGGAGUACCUCAAAAAGAAGUUGAUAUUAACUUCAACACCUGAAAAUCUUUCUCUGAAUAUUAUAUUUGAAUUCAUCUUAACACAGAGCGGGCAGAACAAUAAUAAAUAUCAAGUUUGUGCUGUUUGAAGCAGAUGCCCUGGCAGAAGCAAAUAAGGAACCAUCAACGGCAUGCCGCUCCAAAGGGAAGGGGUGCUGUGAACUAAGCCUGGCAACAAGGCAGGCAGAGGAGUGGCCUUACCAGCAAAGAUGAUGGUACCUGAGCAAAACAAGAAGAGCAGGUCCAAGGGACAGUAAUUAGGAUCAGCCAAAAGACCAGGUUGCUGCAGAAGUUCGUGGGGAUGAGGCAGGUCUGAAGUUGAGUCAAUCCUAAGGGUUGGGUCAGGUUUGGGAUCAACAGGGUGCAUGGCUUGGAUGCAGUGCACCUCGGAUAGCUCCCCUUCUCUUUUUGGCCUGUACAAGGGAAGACUAGCCUCCCAUCUUUAAUAGUUAAACUCACCUGCAGUCCUCGAACAAAACUUAGUACAGAGAUUUGCUCCAUCCCUGGACCACUGGACCGUCUGGGCAUUAGUUCUGCUCCUGAAUUUAAUAUGCUACAAGAGCAAGCCUGGUGAACCUAUUUUAAGGGAUUAUCAGUGAAUAUAUUUCCAUAUAAAUUUUUAAAAGUGUUUUUUUUUUAAGGAUGAUGUAGCCUUCUACAUCUUUAUUAUUGGAAUGUAACAUUUCCAUUGUGAUAUUUUUCUUUUCUGGGUUCAGACCUCUUCAAAAUAAUGAGAAAUCAGAUGGUUCGGGUAACUAAUGCUUGCUUACGUGCUGAGAUAGAUGUUGCUGAAUGUGCUGAAGACAAUAAAAUAAUUAUUUUACUUCUUGUAAGCA